rnacentral:rRNA from 1 species
GACGAACGCUGGCGGCGUGCUUAACACAUGCAAGCCGAACGGAAGGGCCCUGCUUUUGUGGGGUGCUCGAGUGGCGAACGGGUGAGUAACACGUGAGUAACCUGCCCUUGACUUUGGGAUAACUUCAGGAAACUGGGGCUAAUACCGGAUAGGAGCUCCUGCUGCAUGGUGGGGGUUGGAAAGUUUCGGCGGUUGGGGAUGGACUCGCGGCUUAUCAGCUUGUUGGUGGGGUAGUGGCUUACCAAGGCUUUGACGGGUAGCCGGCCUGAGAGGGUGACCGGCCACAUUGGGACUGAGAUACGGCCCAGACUCCUACGGGAGGCAGCAGUGGGGAAUAUUGCACAAUGGGCGGAAGCCUGAUGCAGCAACGCCGCGUGCGGGAUGACGGCCUUCGGGUUGUAAACCGCUUUCGCCUGUGACGAAGCGUGAGUGACGGUAAUGGGUAAAGAAGCACCGGCUAACUACGUG